rnacentral:lncRNA from 1 species
AAGGCAGCCAACUGAUGGAUAGUUAGGUAAAUAUCUUUACUCUCUAACUCUCACUCUCUGGAAAUCCGUGUGCAGAGACAGAAAGGACUAAAAAGAGGGGGGCUUUUGCUUUGGCUUUGGCUUUGGCUUUGGCUUUGGCUUUGGCUACUCUUAUGACAGAAGAUAUAAGGUGAGAAAAGUGAAGAAGGUGGGUGUCAUUUUCUAACAAAUUUUACAGUUAAUACUAUGUUAUCACAACAAAAUGCAUGGAAAGUAGAGGGGGGGGUGGGGAUAAAGCUGAAGGGAGCUUUAUUUGUAGUCAAAAUGGGAAGGAUAUGAGAAUGGGUAUUCGAGAUUUUCUAAGGGAAGAUGAUUGGUGAUUGGAAUUUUGGUGUGUAGGGUUUGUGGGGGAUUGGUAUUUGUGAGGUAAUGGGAAAAUGGCAGAAGGCAAAUGGUGGAGUGGGAAGAAGAAGAAGAAUACAAAGGAGGAGGAGAAUGUUAUCGUUUCUGACAUUGUUGCACUAAGUAAGGAGCAUUAUGAGUGUGAAUGAAGUGCACCAACUCAUCAACCCAUUAAGUUGACAGAGGGAAUACAGUGAUAUUGACUUUUUUGUUUCUUUAUGUUUGUUUUGGGGCAACUAUUCAUCAACACUUUGGGUCUCCAGGAGAAGCUAAAUUAACUGCCACUAGACUUCUCAUUUUUCUUUCUGUUGGAUUUGCUUGGUUCCUUUCUGAUGGUUGAAUUCGAGAGCGCAAAAUCUUCGUUUUUUUCGGG